GAUUUCUGUUACUUCUGCGAUUUCUGUGACUCCUGCGAUUUCUGCGACUUACGACCGUUUGAAAAAGUUACAUCUGUCCACACAGAAAAUUGCAUCUCAACAAACCUGUCAUUGGCACACGAACUACAUUUUAGUCACUCAGUAAAGUGAUAACUCAAAAUAUCACUGUCAACAGAUCUGGAGAAAUUGCCACUGCGUCUUUAGACCGUUUUCGUCAGACGAGAGACACAGUUCUGACUCUGAUUACCGGUUGCUGUACGUAUCUAUCCACAUCAAGGCUGUUGAGAGAGACUCGUGAAGAUUCAAGACAGCUCUUAGAAGAUUUUGCAGUUUAAAAGUGACAUAAUUGUGAAAUAAGUGUGCAGAUGAGUGAUUAAACUGUGUUUUAUUGAAGUUGUUGUGCGAUUUUAAAGGAAUAAUAAAUGUUAAAUACAGUGAGU